GACGAACGCUGGCGGCGUGCUUAACACAUGCAAGUCGAACGGAAAGGCCCUGCUUUUGUGGGGUGCUCGAGUGGCGAACGGGUGAGUAACACGUGAGUAACCUGCCCUUGACUUUGGGAUAACUUCAGGAAACUGGGGCUAAUACCGGAUAGGAGCCCCUGCUGAAUGGUGGGGGUGGGAAAGUUUCGGCGGUUGGGGAUGGACUCGCGGCUUAUCAGCUUGUUGGUGGGGUAGUGGCUUACCAAGGCUUUGACGGGUAGCCGGCCUGAGAGGGUGACCGGCCACAUUGGGACUGAGAUACGGCCCAGACUCCUACGGGAGGCAGCAGUGGGGAAUAUUGCACAAUGGGCGGAAGCCUGAUGCAGCAACGCCGCGUGCGGGAUGACGGCCUUCGGGUUGUAAACCGCUUUCGCCUGUGACGAAGCGUGAGUGACGGUAAUGGGUAAAGAAGCACCGGCUAACUACGUG
rnacentral:rRNA from 1 species